rnacentral:rRNA from 1 species
GACGAACGCUGGCGGCGUGCCUAAUACAUGCAAGUCGAACGCUGAAGGAGGAGCUUGCUUCUCCGGAUGAGUUGCGAACGGGUGAGUAACGCGUAGGUAACCUGCCUGGUAGCGGGGGAUAACUAUUGGAAACGAUAGCUAAUACCGCAUAAGAGUAGAUGUCGCAUGACAUUUGCUUAAAAGGUGCAACUGCACCACUACCAGAUGGACCUGCGUUGUAUUAGCUAGUUGGUGAGGUAACGGCUCACCAAGGCAACGAUACAUAGCCGACCUGAGAGGGGGAUCGGCCACACUGGGACUGAGACACGGCCCAGACUCCUACGGGAGGCAGCAGUAGGGAAUCUUCGGCAAUGGACGGAAGUCUGACCGAGCAACGCCGCGUGAGUGAAGAAGGUUUUCGGAUCGUAAAGCUCUGUUGUAAGAGAAGAACGAGUGUGAGAGUGGAAAGUUCACACUGUGACGGUAUCUGACCAGAAAGGGACGGCUAACUACGUG